rnacentral:rRNA from 1 species
AGUGAACGCUGGCGGUAGGCCUAACACAUGCAAGUCGAACGGCAGCACAGUAAGAGCUUGCUCUUACGGGUGGCGAGUGGCGGACGGGUGAGGAAUACAUCGGAAUCUACUUUUUCGUGGGGGAUAACGUAGGGAAACUUACGCUAAUACCGCAUACGACCUACGGGUGAAAGCAGGGGAUCUUCGGACCUUGCGCGAUUGAAUGAGCCGAUGUCGGAUUAGCUAGUUGGCGGGGUAAAGGCCCACCAAGGCGACGAUCCGUAGCUGGUCUGAGAGGAUGAUUCGCCACACUGGAACUGAGACACGGUCCAGACUCCUACGGGAGGCAGCAGUGGGGAAUAUUGGACAAUGGGCGCAAGCCUGAUCCAGCCAUACCGCGUGGGUGAAGAAGGCCUUCGGGUUGGAAAGCCCUUUUGUUGGGAAAGAAAAGCAGCAGGUUAAUACCCCGCUGUUCUGACGGUACCCAAAGAAUAAGCACCGGCUAACUUCGUG